rnacentral:rRNA from 1 species
CUAAAAAAUACGUCUCAGUUCAGAUUGCAGGCUGCAACUCGCCUGCAUGAAGUCGGAAUUGCUAGUAAUCGCAGAUCAGCAUGCUGCGGUGAAUACGUUCCCGGGCCUUGUACACACCGCCCGUCAAACCAUGAGAGUCGGCAACACCCGAAGUCGGUAGUCUAACCGCAAGGAGGACGCCGCCGAAGGUGGGGUUGAUGAUUAGGGUUAAGUCGUAACAAGGUAUC